rnacentral:rRNA from 1 species
AUGUCAAAGCGGCAGUUGACGCUUCAGCCAUGUUGCCACAAGGCCAAGCAGCAGCAGCAGCAGCCGCGACAGCAUGUCUAUCUCGUGGUGGACGACUGGGAAACUGGAUACAGCGUCCGCAAGAUAGAUGUCGACGACAUGGACCCUCCUCACGCCGGCGACGACCUGGACGACGAGGAGGCGGAGCCCCACCCAGAUCCCCCGGUUGUGCGCUUCUACGGCCGUCACUGCCGCCUGUCGCAUAUCGGCGCGUACGGCACUAGCAUACUUGCCAUGCUGCGCACCAGCGACAGCGAUGCCACCGGCGCCUUCCCCAUAUUCGACACAAAAACUCUAGGGCUCACCCUCUGCCCCCAUCCGGACGGCCGCAGGGCCCGGCCCUUGUUCGCAUCAGCCGCUGGCGUGCUUUACUUGACGGUGGGAUACUCCACGUUUGUACUCGACUCCUUGCCACUCCCCGGACCAUACGGAGACGAAGACACGCAGUGGUCCUGGAUCGAAAAACCAAAGAUCUUUGCUCCGUUCCACUCCUGCGACGUCGUGUCCUUUGCAGUGCACCCCAACGACCAUUUGCUUUUCGUCUCGGAAGGAGCCAGAACCUUCUUCCUGGACACCAAGUGCUCUUCCUGGAUGGGCGUAGGCAAGUGGAUCAUGCCAUUCAAAGGCCAGGCCUACUUUGACGGCGAGCUCGAUGCCUGGGUAGGGCUCUGCCGCCACAAAGGCGGCGUCGGCCACGUCUGCUCCUGCGACGCCCCGCCCCUGUCUGACUACGCUACAAUGUCGUCGACCAUGCCGGCUUGGAAGCUCAGCGAGGACCGACUCUUCGAUGCGGACGACGACAGGCACCUGGGAGCCACCCUUCUCUACCUGGGCGGCGUCAGCGACUACUGCCUCAUAGAGUCUCGCCUGCACAAGGAUCAGGAGCCUUUCGGACCCUGUGACGGACCGCGUCGCCGUGUCCUGCGCAUCACCAAGUUUGGUCUCAAGUAUGAUAAAAGUGGAGAGCUCAGGACGACGCGGCGAACGGCGCGCUCCUACCAGAUGACCGAAGGACAUGAAUUCAAUGAGAUAUGCUUAAAUCCUGUGGCUUUCUGGAUUUUUUUUUUAGAAAAGGAGGAUGACCCCCGGCCUCUGCAUCUGGGAGAUGCAUACGGCCACUUUAUUAAUUAUUCUCGAGGACCUUACAAAGUAUUACAAACAAUAUACCUGAAUCCACCAUCUUGGCAAUAUAUGCCGCUACUCUUAUCCAUAUGA